rnacentral:rRNA from 1 species
GAUAAGGUUAAGUGAAUAAGGGCGCACGGUGGAUGCCUUGGCACUAGGAGCCGAUGAAGGACGGGACUAACACCGAUAUGCUUUGGGGAGCUGUAAGUAAGCUAUGAUCCAGAGAUUUCCGAAUGGGGGAACCCAAUAUCUUUUAUAGGAUAUUACUUUUCAGUGAAUACAUAGCUGAUUAGAGGUAGACGCAGAGAACUGAAACAUCUUAGUACCUGCAGGAAGAGAAAGAAAAUUCGAUUCCCUGAGUAGCGGCGAGCGAAACGGGAAGAGCCCAAACCAACAAGCUUGCUUGUUGGGGUUGUAGGACUCCAAUAUGGUAGUCUGUUAGUAUAGUUGAAGGAUUUGGAAAAUUCCGCUAAAGAGGGUGAAAGCCCCGUAGACGAAAUGCUAACAACACCUAGGAGGAUCCUGAGUACGGCGGAACACGAGAAAUUCCGUCGGAAUCCGCGGGGACCAUCCCGCAAGGCUAAAUACUCCCUAGUGAC